rnacentral:rRNA from 1 species
AUACGGAGGAUGCGAGCGUUAUCCGGAUUUAUUGGGUUUAAAGGGAGCGUAGGUGGAUUGUUAAGUCAGUUGUGAAAGUUUGCGGCUCAACCGUAAAAUUGCAGUUGAAACUGGCAGUCUUGAGUACAGUAGAGGUGGGCGGAAUUCGUGGUGUAGCGGUGAAAUGCUUAGAUAUCACGAAGAACUCCGAUUGCGUAGGCAGCUGACCAGAUCGCAGAUGACGCUCAUGCACGAAAGUGCGGGGAUCGAACAGGAUUAGAUACCCUGGUAGUCCGCACAGUAAACGAUGAAUACUUGUUUUCGGCGAUAUAAUGUCGGAGGCAAAGCGAAAGCGAUAAGUAUUCCACCUGGGGAGUACGCCGGCAACGGUGAAACUCAAAUGAAUUGGCGGGG